AGGGAACAGGCAUUAUCUCCCCUCCACCACCAUGGGCCUAGCCACCCCCGUCAGACAGGGCCAGGGACCCCACAGAGCAGGGAAACAGGACUAGGGUGGCCAGGUGCCCAGUUUUCGUCCAGAAAGUCUGGUUGGACAGGGGACCUGAUAGCAUCCAGUGCAAUCUACUGCGCAGAUACUCGACAUCUGCCAAGCUGCGGUAGGGAGGUGCCAGCUCAGCAGCCACACCAGCCCCCAUGCAGCCUGAGCCCCCUUCUACCUGCAGGGAGCCCUGGCUCUGCAGGCGAGUCCUUCUCCCUCCUGCCCUGGGCAGAGGGGUGGGAAGGUAAAAACAAUGAGCAGUGGGGCAGCAAAGAGGAGUGGAUGAAGUGGGGCCUCAGGAGAAAGAGGUAGGACAAGGUUGUAGGGAGAGGAACAGGGCAAGGGAUAUUCUAGCAUUAGUCCAGUUCAGUCAUUUAGCAGGCCCAGCGUCCACGGAAUGAUUACAAAAGGUAUUAUCUGCUACAAUUUAGAACAGAGGUUUUCAGGCUUUUUCCUUUCUGAAACCCCCGUCAGUAUGCUAUAAAAACUACACGGCCCACUUGUGCCACAAUAAUUGCUUUUCUGCAUAUUAAAACUAGAGCCGGCGCUAAGGGGUAGGAAUUAGAACAAUUGUUUGGGGUCUUAUGCCACCGGGGCCUAAAAGACUACAUUGCUUAGGCUUCGGCUGGACUUCAUGCAGCAGGGCUUCAGACUUCUGUUCUGGGCCCCAGCAACUCUAAUAGGUUCUAUCCAUCGUUCUGUGUCAAAAGAAAGAAAUAUUCUAGCUAUUUUAAGAAAAUUUGAAGAAGAUUUACUCUCCCAAGGUUCUAGACCUAUGCAACCUGUAAUGACGACAAACAAUGGGCUGAGGAGAGAAAGUGUGAAGGAUUUUAUUACACUAUACAGUUAUUGGUUCUCUGUGUCACACAUGCAUUAUGAAUUAUAAUUACCAGCUUUAUAAUUGUAAUAUGAAAUGUAUAAAAUUAAAAUAAUUGCAUGAUUUUCCC